rnacentral:rRNA from 1 species
GAUGAACGCUGGCGGCGUGCCUAAUACAUGCGAGUCGAGCGAACGGACGAGAAGCUUGCUUCUCUGAUGUUAGCGGCGGACGGGUGAGUAACACGUGGAUAACCUACCUAUAAGACUGGGAUAACUUCGGGAAACCGGAGCUAAUACCGGAUAAUAUUUUGAACCGCAUGGUUCAAAAGUGAAAGACGGUCUUGCUGUCACUUAUAGAUGGAUCCGCGCUGCAUUAGCUAGUUGGUAAGGUAACGGCUUACCAAGGCAACGAUGCAUAGCCGACCUGAGAGGGUGAUCGGCCACACUGGAAAUGAGACACGGUCCAGACUCCUACGGGAGGCAGCAGUAGGGAAUCUUCCGCAAGGGGCGAAAGCCUGACGGAGCAACGCCGCGUGAGUGAUGAAGGUCUUCGGAUCGUAAAACUCUGUUAUUAGGGAAGAACAGAUGUGUAAGUAACUGUGCACAUCUUGACGGUACCUAAUCAGAAAGCCACGGCUAACUACGU